GGUAUUAAGAUCUAUAUGUCAGCACUAAUUGCUUAUUUAGAGAAAUCAUUGACAAUAAGAUGUCGUUUAUGAAUCAUUCGCAAAUGCCCGACCAACAAUUCUUAUGGGAUGUGUUUUCACGUGUUGAUAAGGAUCGUAGUGGGUAUAUAUCUGCGGAUGAGCUGCAACUAGCACUGUCUAAUGGAACUUGGAGUCCAUUUAAUCCAGAAACAGUCCGUUUAAUGAUUGGAAUGUUUGAUCGUGAGAACAGAGGAACAGUAUCAUUCCAAGAUUUUGGAUCUCUUUGGAAAUAUGUGACAGAUUGGCAAAAUUGUUUUCGUUCGUUUGAUCGUGACAAUUCCGGCAACAUAGACAAAACAGAACUUAAAACAGCUUUAACAUCCUUUGGAUAUCGCCUAUCUGAUAAUAUUAUAGAUAUGCUAAUACGGAAAUUUGAUCGCUUUGGAAGGGGAUAAAUAUAUUUUGAUGAUUUUAUACAGUGCUGCAUAGUACUAUAUACGCUGACAUCAGCUUUUCGUCAACACGAUUCUGAUAUGGACGGAGUCAUAACUAUCCACUAUGAACAAUUUCUCAGUAUGGUAUUCGCUUUAAGAAUUUAGGUCAUAGAUUAUGACCUAACUGAAAGUGAUUCUCCAUACGUGCCAAUCCAUUAAUCCGUUUUAUAAGGUUUUGCCGUCGUAAACCAGGAUCGAUUGAUAAAUAAUAAAACAAAAAUAACAAAUAUGGAUAAUUUUCUUUUCGUUAAAAUUAUGAAUAUUCGUUACAGUAUAUGAAGAUUCUGUAUGUAAAUAAAAUGUUAGAAAUGUAACAACUACUUGAUACAAGAAUUAUAUUUUACAAAUAUUGAUGUUUGAAUUUUGAUGAAAUAAACUAAUUGUGAAUAUUUUUGUUCUUUUUAGUUUUUAUAUUUUCCGCCAUAAGAAGUGAAUCUUAGUUUUAUCAUUCCAAUUUCAACAACAACUUCGUAACCUCUAAAUUGAUUAACAAAAUUAAAAGCAACUAGGGUUCAUGCGUCCACUACUAUCAAUCAAUGUUUGAGUAGCUGAAGGGACUUUCCGUAUAUUCGCCUUGGGCGAACAUUGCUGAUAGCUAUCGGACGCAUCCACAGGUUGCGCUCGACCUCAGUCCCUUCGUAACUUGACGCCUAAAAAACUAUAAUAUAAAACAAAUGAGUGCAGAGCGGCACCCCACUGAAGAAAAAGUCGUUGCCUUCUCUGGCCUUACACCAGGCAAAGCUGAGAAGCUAGGAACAUUCAAGCUGUUAUGUGCUGUUGGGAUGAAUUCUACUUCCAUAAGUGGAAAAAGAACACAUACGGACCAUAAUACCUUCAAACCUUCAAAAUACAUAUCUUCGUACAGAGGGUUGGGCCCCGACAUUAGAGUAGACAGGAAUGAGGAUAACUACUUGCGCCCACGAGAGGGAAAGCCGAACUUCGGAUCAGGGUGAGUACGGUUCGGCCAACAUACUCCUUAUCGGGCUCAAUAGCGAAACAAAAUAGGCCACAAGCAGAAAACUAUUCAGCAGAAGUGUCAGCAUCGGGGAAUAGAGCUAGAUCUUAAGUACUCCUUUCAACCGGUCGGGUGAACUGAAUGGUAGAAGCUAUGAAUUUAAGGCAACCCUAGAUUCCGGCUAACAGAUUAAUGUGGUGUCAGAACGACUUGUGCAUCGGUUGGGUAUCGAUCCCAUUCAAGCAUCUCUCUGUUUCGAAGGCGUUGGUGGAUGGUCAAGAACCGCAAACCUCAAAGUCAACGUUGAACUUCAGUCGCUAACAAGCAAAUUCAGAACGCGUCUAGAAGCUUUUGUGUUACGAAAUAUAGUGCCACCAAGCAUUGGCAUCGACAUUACAUAAUGACCAAUUCCAGAAAACAUCAAGUUGACAAAACUCCACAGAAAUCCACAGGGUUUUACGUACUACUGGGAGCAGAGUUAUAUUUUAAUCUGAUACGGAUCGCAAAUAUCAGCUAAUCCUAUUGAGAAAACCCAAACAAGAAACUCGACUAUGAUGUGUUAAAUGCAUUAACAUAUGGAACGACCUACGCCCCAUAUCUUGCUAAAAUAUGUACGAACAUACGUAAUUAGUGGAAGCAGGAUUUAGAGUACGAAAAUGGUGUGCUAAUCACUAGAAACAGCUGCAGGGAGUUGCUCCAGAAAUAGGUCUUAAAUUUGACAAGUCAUCAAUCAAGGUUUUGGAAUUAACAUUAUAUAACAUAUAAAAGAUUCUGCAUGGUAUACUUCAAUUUAAAUUAAUCUCUUUAAAAUACAAUACUUUGCUUUUU